UUUUCUAUCAUUUUCUGCUUCAGAUUUAUUCCAGUGUUACAAAUGGAGAAAGAAAGGAAAGAGAACCUCCAGUGGAAAGAGAAAGAAAGGAAAGAGCGACAUAACUGGCAGUUCCCUGCUCAAAAGGAGAUGCUAGACGUUGUAAAGCAACUGCAUGAUAUGCAUGAAAGUUAUAACAAACUAAAAGAAGAUUUUGUCUAUAACCUCAGAAUUUUGGAAGAAAGAGAUAAAGAAUUGGAAUCCUAUGAUGUCACAUUCAGUCUUCUGAAAACGUCUGAAAACGCUAAGCAGGCAGAGAUUAGCAACCUUAAAAUACAGCUGGAUAAACUGGAGCAACUUCUUGUCAAGGAAAGAAGAAAAAGAGCUGAACUUCAUUAUCACUAUCAACAAAACCUUGUAGAACAUAAGUUAGAGCUGGAAUAGUUUUGCAGGUCAAAGAGCGGUCACACAAAUCAUCAACAUGAGGAGUGUGUGAGCCUGAGACAUCACAUGGAGAGAAAACUCCAAGAACUGCAAGGAGAGCUCGUUUGUCAGAAACAGGUGAAACUGCUGACCAGAGAACUGGAGGCCCUCAGAAUGACUGGAAUGAAAGCAUCAGAAUCAGCACAAGCAGCAGAAUUGGUUAAGCUGCAACUGGAGAAAGAGGACAAGUACAAGAAUUGGGAAUUAAAUGAUUCUGUAGCUGUGAGAAAUGCCUGGGAGAAAGAGCCAUCUCAUGUUGAUAAGAAAAAGGAUGCCUUGUCAGCUUCACUGGAAGAAGCUCCAAUCAAACAGUUUAAAAAACUGAAGAAACAGAUUAGAGAACUACAGAUGAGACAGAAAAGUCUGGAAGCAAAGCUGCGCAGGAAAGAAGGGAAUCACAGUGCUUGUGUAAGAGGUGAAGAUGCCCUUAUUAAAAAGUAUAAACAAGAAAUGUCAAUGGAAGCUGAGCAAGAACAGCUUCUGGAACAGAGUAAAACCCACGCAGAACUGGACUGGCAGCUCUGUGGGAAUGCUGAAAAUCACCAGGAUCAGAAAUCAGAGGAUCUAACUCCAAGUGUGUCUUUAGCACGAGAGCAGGUGAGAAGUUCCCAUUAACUAUUUAGGAACUGUUUGUUGCACAGAGAUCUAUGGAAUAU
rnacentral:lncRNA from 1 species